CCACCUGCUAAGCGCGUGGGCGUGGCCGGGCAAACCCCACACGUCUUCCCACCCACCGCGGGGGGCAGCUCUGGCCAAGAUGACAUCUUCAGCAUCUGGACCCAUGGGAAGGAGGCUGUGGAAGAAUUCCCCUGUGAUUUCUACAGUUUCCACCCCACCGUCAACCUCAGCCUGGACCAGUUUACACAAGAGAUCCACUUCCUGGACACUACAGUGUGAAUCAGUGAUGGUCACAUUAACACCACCCCAGACCGAAAACCUACCGAGCGCUAUGCUUACCUACACGCCGCCAGCUUCCAUCCCGGACACACCACACGCUCCAUUGUCUAAAGCCAAGCACUAUGGCAAAAAAGCAGCAGUCUGGACGGGGAUCUGCAAGGAGGGUUACAGGAUCUGUUGAAAAAGCCUUUCUUUCUUGGCAGAUCCGCCUCUACACUGCUUUUUGCCGACAAAGUGCUGAGUUGGCAAAACGCGGUGGCCAUUUUUAUGCAAAUUAGGCAUGGGAUAUUUAAAUCCCUACCUAAUUUGCAAUGUCGACCUGCCUAAUCUGCAUCCCCCUGCCGACAGAGGACAAACACCUACAAGAUCUUCACCGAGCCUUCUUAAAACUACACUAUCCGCCCGAGGAAGGGAGGGAAGAGAGUGACAGAGCCAGACGUGCACCCACCAGCCUCCUGCUACAAGACAGGCCCAGCAAAGAAAAUAACAGGACCUCACUGGCCAUCACCUACAGUCCCCAGCUAAGACCGCUCCAAGAGUGACCUGCAACCCACCCUGGCCAACGAUCCCUCGCUUUCACAGGCCUUAAAUGCGAGUCAGCGUCCUCGCCGUGUGGACACGCUAGCUUGAACUAGAAAAACGCUAUUUCGAAAGGCAUUCUGUGUGUAGAGGCGUCGUUUCGAAACAAGCUAUUUCAAACUAACGCCGUAGUGCAGACACGCCGCCGUCUGGAAGGUGCCCCAGGACUCCUCCUUGUUUAUGCAGAUUCAGACUAACACGGCUCCCCUGACACUUUUAAACACCUUUUUAUCUGU